rnacentral:rRNA from 1 species
CCUACGUGAGGCAGCAGUGAGGAAUAUUGGUCAAUGGGCGCGAGCCUGAACCAGCCAAGUAGCGUGAAGGAUGACUGCCCUACGGGUUGUAAACUUCUUUUAUAAAGGAAUAAAGUGAGGCACGUGUGCCUUUUUGUAUGUACUUUAUGAAUAAGGAUCGGCUAACUCCGUGCCAGCAGCCGCGGUAAUACGGAGGAUCCGAGCGUUAUCCGGAUUUAUUGGGUUUAAAGGGAGCGUAGAUGGGUUGUUAAGUCAGUUGUGAAAGUUUGCGGUUCAACCGUAAAAUUGCAAUUGAUACUGGCAGUCUUGAGUACAGUUGAGGUAGGCGGAAUUCGUGGUGUAGCGGUGAAAUGCUUAGAUAUCACGAAGAACUCCGAUUGCGAAGGCAGCUUACUAAACUGCCACUGACAUUGAUGCUCGAAAGUGUGGGUAUCAAACAGGAUUAGAUACCCUUGUAGUC